ensembl:processed_transcript
UACAUUAUGUACCACGGGACUCUCAAAAGCAAUGCCCCAGCCAUCAUAUCAACAGGAUUUCGUCCCUCUUCUGGGGGAACUCUGGGCCCCGGAGUCUACUGUAGUAGAGACAUUAACAAAGCAAUGGGUUACCCAGCAUGUGCUCCCAAUGACCGAGUCGUGUUAAAGCUGCGAGUGAGAGUUGGUAAAGUGAAGAGGAUUGACAGCCAAAGUCUUAACAUGUGGACAUCAUGGCAUCAGAACGGAUAUGAUACGGCCUGGUUACCUGAUAGCUGUGGUAUGGCACUUUCAGGAAAUGAAGAA